AGCGUACACGGUGGAUGCCUAGGCAGUCAGAGGCGAUGAAGGGCGUGCUAAUCUGCGAAAAGCGUCGGUAAGGUGAUAUGAACCGUUAUAACCGGCGAUACCCGAAUGGGGAAACCCAGUGUGUUUCGACACACUAUCAUGUCAUGAAUACAUAGUGGCAUGAGGCGAACCGGGGGAACUGAAACAUCUAAGUACCCCGAGGAAAAGAAAUCAACCGAGAUUCCCCCAGUAGCGGCGAGCGAACGGGGAGGAGCCCAGAACCUGAAUCGGCUUGUGUGUUAGUGGAAGCGUCUGGAAAGUCGCGCAGCAAAGGGUGAUAGCCCCGUACACUAAAAUGCACAGGUCGUGAGUUCGAUGAGUAGGGCGGGACACGUGACAUCCUGUCUGAAUAUGGGGGGACCAUCCUCCAAGGCUAAAUACUCCUGACUGACCGAUAGUGAACCAGUACCGUGAGGGAAAGGCGAAAAGAACCCCGGCGAGGGGAGUGAAAUAGAACCUGAAACCGUGUACGUACAAGCAGUGGGAGCACCUUCGUGGUGUGACUGCGUACCUUUUGUAUAAUGGGUCAGCGACUUAUAUUUUGUAGCAAGGUUAACCGUAUAGGGGAGCCGUAGGGAAACCGAGUCUUAACUGGGCGAAUAGUUGCAAGGUAUAGACCCGAAACCCGGUGAUCUAGCCAUGGGCAGGUUGAAGGUUGGGUAACACUAACUGGAGGACCGAACCGACUAAUGUUGAAAAAUUAGCGGAUGACUUGUGGCUGGGGGUGAAAGGCCAAUCAAACCGGGAGAUAGCUGGUUCUCCCCGAAAGCUAUUUAGGUAGCGCCUCGUGAACUCAUCUUCGGGGGUAGAGCACUGUUUCGGCUAGGGGGCCAUCCCGGCUUACCAAACCGAUGCAAACUCCGAAUACCGAAGAAUGUUAUCACGGGAGACACACGGCGGGUGCUAACGUCCGUCGUGAAGAGGGAAACAACCCAGACCGCCAGCUAAGGUCCCAAAGUCAUGGUUAAGUGGGAAACGAUGUGGGAAGGCACAGACAGCCAGGAUGUUGGCUUAGAAGCAGCCAUCAUUUAAAGAAAGCGUAAUAGCUCACUGGUCGAGUCGGCCUGCGCGGAAGAUGUAACGGGGCUAAACCAUGCACCGAAGCUGCGGCAGCGACGCUUAGGCGUUGUUGGGUAGGGGAGCGUUCUGUAAGCCGUUGAAGGUGGCCUGUGAGGGUUGCUGGAGGUAUCAGAAGUGCGAAUGCUGACAUAAGUAACGAUAAAGCGGGUGAAAAGCCCGCUCGCCGGAAGACCAAGGGUUCCUGUCCAACGUUAAUCGGGGCAGGGUGAGUCGACCCCUAAGGCGAGGCUGAAAAGCGUAGUCGAUGGGAAACAGGUUAAUAUUCCUGUACUUGGUGUUACUGCGAAGGGGGGACGGAGAAGGCUAGGCUNCAUACUAACCCUGAGGCGUGAUGACGAUGCACUACGGUGCAGAAGUAGUUGAUGCCCUGCUUCCAGGAAAAGCCUCUAAGCUCCAGGUAACAUUAAAUCGUACCCCAAACCGACACAGGUGGUCAGGUAGAGAAUACCAAGGCGCUUGAGAGAACUCGGGUGAAGGAACUAGGCAAAAUGGUGCCGUAACUUCGGGAGAAGGCACGCUGGCAUGUAGGUGAAGUCCCUCGCGGAUGGAGCUGAAGCCAGUCGAAGAUACCAGCUGGCUGCAACUGUUUAAUAAAAACACAGCACUGUGCAAACACGAAAGUGGACGUAUACGGUGUGACGCCUGCCCGGUGCUGGAAGGUUAAUUGAUGGGGUCAGCCGCAAGGCGAAGCUCUUGAUCGAAGCCCCAGUAAACGGCGGCCGUAACUAUAACGGUCCUAAGGUAGCGAAAUUCCUUGUCGGGUAAGUUCCGACCUGCACGAAUGGCGUAAUGAUGGCCAGGCUGUCUCCACCCGAGACUCAGUGAAAUUGAACUCGCUGUGAAGAUGCAGUGUACCCGCGGCAAGACGGAAAGACCCCGUGAACCUUUACUAUAGCUUGACACUGAACAUUGAGCCUUGAUGUGUAGGAUAGGUGGGAGGCUUUGAAGCGUGGACGCCAGUCUGCGUGGAGCCAUCCUUGAAAUACCACCCUUUAAUGUUUGAUGUUCUAACUCGGCCCCAUAAUCUGGGGUGAGGACAGUGUCUGGUGGGUAGUUUGACUGGGGCGGUCUCCUCCCAAAGAGUAACGGAGGAGCACGAAGGUUAGCUAAUCACGGUCGGACAUCGUGAGGUUAGUGCAAAGGCAUAAGCUAGCUUGACUGCGAGAGUGACGGCUCGAGCAGGUACGAAAGUAGGUCUUAGUGAUCCGGUGGUUCUGAAUGGAAGGGCCAUCGCUCAACGGAUAAAAGGUACUCCGGGGAUAACAGGCUGAUACCGCCCAAGAGUUCAUAUCGACGGCGGUGUUUGGCACCUCGAUGUCGGCUCAUCACAUCCUGGGGCUGAAGUAGGUCCCAAGGGUAUGGCUGUUCGCCAUUUAAAGUGGUACGCGAGCUGGGUUUAGAACGUCGUGAGACAGUUCGGUCCCUAUCUGCCGUGGGCGUUGGAAGAUUGAGAGGGGUUGCUCCUAGUACGAGAGGACCGGAGUGAACGCACCACUGGUGUUCGGGUUGUCAUGCCAAUGGCAUUGCCCGGUAGCUAAGUGCGGAAAAGAUAAGCGCUGAAAGCAUCUAAGCGCGAAACUUGCCUCAAGAUGAGUCUUCCCUGGGCCUUUAAGGCCCCUGAAGGAACGUUUAAGACUAAGACGUUGA
rnacentral:rRNA from 1 species